rnacentral:rRNA from 1 species
AUGUCUACCUGCCUCACGGAUAUGAUUUGUGCCAAUGAGGUAGAUUUUGUUGGUCUACAAGAGACUAUGAAGGGAUCUUAUAACCAUUCCUUUUUUAGGAAGAUCGAUCCAUAUCUGAAAUUCCAUUGGGAUUGGGUUCCCUCGAGGGUGAAGUCGGGAGGUAUUCUUUGUGGUCUCAAUAAAGACAAAUUUGAUGUCCUCGGAUCUAAACAGGGCAAAUAUAUCCUGCACAUGGACUUGUUUGAUAAAAACAAGAAUUGUGAGUGGGCUCUCCUUAUAGUAUAUGCUGCUGCUCACGACGAGUAUAAGCCUGAAUUGAUAGCAGAAUUAUCUUCCUUGUGUCAUAGUAUUAAUAGACCAUACUUGGGGGGAGACUUCAAUAUUAUUCGUCACAAUGGUGAGAAAAACAAAAAAACACCCCUAUCUCAUUUUUCAGAGGUCUUUAACUCUGUUAUCCACCUGCUUGGGUUAAGAGAGAUUCAUAUGACUGGGGGUUGCUAUACGUGGUCAAAUAAGCAGGAAAACCAAACCCUUGAAAAUUUAGAUAGAGUGCUGAUGUCUCCUGAUUGGGAAGACUUAUUUCCCCUCGUUUCGGUGAGCAAGCUGGUGAAAGAACUUUCAGAUCACAAUCCCCUUUUAUUG